UACGGGGGGGGCAAGCGUUGUUCGGAAUUACUGGGCGUAAAGGGUUUGUAGGUGGCUUGCUAAGUCAGACGUGAAAUCCCUCAACUUAACUGGGGAACUGCGUCUGAGACUGGCAAGCUCGAGUGCAGGAGAGGAACGCGGAAUUCCAGGUGUAGCGGUGAAAUGCGUAGAUAUCUGGAGGAACACCGGUGGCGAAGGCGGCGUUCUGGACUGCAACUGACACUGAAAAACGAAAGCCAGGGGAGCAAACGGG
rnacentral:rRNA from 1 species